AACGAACGCUGGCGGCAUGCCUAACACAUGCAAGUCGAACGAGACCUUCGGGUCUAGUGGCGCACGGGUGCGUAACGCGUGGGAACCUGCCCUUAGGUUCGGAAUAACUCCCCGAAAGGGGUGCUAAUACCGGAUAAUGUCUUCGGACCAAAGAUUUAUCGCCUUUGGUUGGGCCCGCGUUGGAUUAGCUAGUUGGUAGGGUAAAAGCCUACCAAGGCGACGAUCCAUAGCUGGUCUGAGAGGAUGAUCAGCCACACUGGGACUGAGACACGGCCCAGACUCCUACGGGAGGCAGCAGUGGGGAAUAUUGGACAAUGGGCGAAAGACUGAUCCAGCAAUGCCGCGUGAGUGAUGAAGGCCUUAGGGUUGUAAAGCUCUUUUACCCGGGAUGAUAAUGACAGUACCGGGAGAAUAAGCUCCGGCUAACUCCGU
rnacentral:rRNA from 1 species